rnacentral:rRNA from 1 species
UACGAAGGGGGCUAGCGUUGCUCGGAAUCACUGGGCGUAAAGCGCACGUAGGCGGCUUUCUAAGUCAGGGGUGAAAUCCUGGGGCUCAACUCCAGAACUGCCUUUGAUACUGGAGAGCUUGAGUCCGGAAGAGGUGAGUGGAACUCCGAGUGUAGAGGUGAAAUUCGUAGAUAUUCGGAAGAACACCAGUGGCGAAGGCGGCUCACUGGUCCGGUACUGACGCUGAGGUGCGAAAGCGUGGGGAGCAAACAGG